rnacentral:rRNA from 1 species
GUGAGGAAUUUUCCGCAAUGGGCGAAAGCCUGACGGAGCAAUGCCGCGUGAAGGAUGAAGGUCUAUGGGUUGUAAACUUCUUUUCUCAGAAAAGAAUUAUGACGGUAUCUGAGGAAUAAGCAUCGGCUAACUCUGUGCCAGCAGCCGCGGUAAGACAGAGGAUGCAAGCGUUAUCCGGAAUGAUUGGGCGUAAAGCGUCUGUAGGUUGUUUAAAAAGUAUUCUGUCAAAGAUUAGGGCUUAACCCUAGAUAGGCAGAAUAAACUUUUAAGCUAGAGUUUGGUAGAGGCAGAGGGAAUUCCCGGUGGAGCGGUGAAAUGCGUAGAUAUCGGGAGGAACACCAAAGGCGAAGGCACUCUGCUGGGCCAAUACUAACACUGAGAGACGAAAGCGAGGGGAGCAAAUGGGAUUAGAAACCCCUGUAGUCC